AUACUGCAUCAUUCCCAAGGGGGGAAAAAGAAAGACACUAAAUCACGAGUCACCUCUGCCUUGGGAUGACUUCUUGAAACAAUUUCAGUUCAAGAAUGCAAAAAGACAGAGAGGGUCUCGUUUACAAGCAUGAUGAAUCAAGACUGCUUGUACUUAAACGGCUCUGUAUUUCCUACCAAGAUUAAUUUUAGUUCAUGUAAGGUCCUCAGCUUUCAAAGGUGCCUAGUGGCUGGAUUGAUGGUGUCGACUUAUCAAUGGUGUAAUAUGGAAAGAAGCUACUUCAAAGUAAAUGAACCCAACUGGAGUCAUGAAGAGGGACGUUCUCCCGAGUGGAAAAUGUGUCCAAUCGAUGGGCGAGAAGGACAGCGUGAAGCUGGCAGCUCACAUGACAGGAGUGAAUAAAUUCCCAUCUUCUUUGCAGAAUAAAAAAGAAAAGAAAAGAGAGAGACCUCGCUUUGUCUGGACAAGCGGCCAAGAGACAUCAGGAGGCCUGCCAACACGAGAGCUGCAGUUAUUCCAGUUUGCUUUCCAGAAGAUUCCUUGACUCCAAAUGUGGU